UGCGCAUGCGGACAAAACCAAGGGGCCAGGCGCCCCUUCGCGCUUUACAGCUGUGAUGCGCAUGCGGACAAAACCAAGGGGCCAGGCGCCCCUUCGCGCUUUACAGCUGUGAUGCGCAUGCGGACAGGGCCACGGGGCCAGGCUCCCCCUUGCGCUUUGCAGCUGUGAUGCGCAUGUGGAGACGGGCACAGAGCCAGGCGCUGCAGGAGCUAAAGAAUUUUGCUAUGUAGUCCAGGCUGGCCUUGAGCUCUCAGCGAUCCUCCUGCCUCAACCUCCUGAGUUACUGGGGUUACAGGCGUUCCCCACCAUGCCCAGCUAUGUCUCCUGCUUACAACGACUGAAAUGUCUAGAGAAACACAAAGAACUGAGAACUCUGAAAAGCCAGCAAGAGCAGGUCGAUUGAGAAGAGAAGCAAAACUUGAAGUGGCUCCUAUAGGGCAAAGGCCAGGCUGGACACUGCUACCUCAACUGGAGUUUCUAGAACAAAGGCCAUCUAAACACGGUACUACCAGCCAGACGUGGUACUGCACAUCUGUAACCCCAGUACUUGAGAGGCUGAGGCAGGAGGAUCACUGCAAGCUGGAGGCCAGCCUGGAAUAUACAGUCAGUUCAAAGCCAGCCUGAAGUACAAAGGGAGACUCCACUCACAAAAACAAGUACUACCAAUCUACACUUUCCCGAGAAGAGUGACUGCUUAUUUCCCAUGUCCUUGUCAACAUUAGGGGUCAGCAAUUUUUCAAUCUCUACCAACAAUCUUCCUAAAACACUUUUUCAAAAAGCCCACACGGCCUUUAAUCCCAGCACUCGGGAGACUGAGGCAGAAGAAUCAUGAGUUUGAGGCCAGCAUGGACUACCUAGUGAGACCUUGUCUCAAAAAAAAAAAAAAAAAAGUUUUUUAAAAUACUUUCCCUGUUCUUGUGUUUUGUUUUGACCUUAAACCAACUGCCAUACUGUUGUUCUCAAUUUUUAGGACGUCAAACUGAUUUAUCUUAAUUCCAUGUUAAGUAUAAAAGAUUAGAACUCAAAACUGGUUUUAGUAUCACUUUUUCUCAUUUAUUUGGAAACAGGAAUUAUAAA